AUUGAACGCUAGCGGCAUGCUUAACACAUGCAAGUCGAACGGCAGCACGAGGAGCUUGCUCCUUGGUGGCGAGUGGCGGACGGGUGAGUAACGCGUAGGAAUCUACCUUAUAGUGGGGGACAACCCGGGGAAACUCGGGCUAAUACCGCAUAAGCCCUUCGGGGGAAAGCAGGGGAUCUUCGGACCUUGUGCUAUUAGAUGAGCCUGCGUCAGAUUAGCUUGUUGGUGGGGUAAUGGCCUACCAAGGCAACGAUCUGUAGCUGGUCUGAGAGGACGAUCAGCCACACUGGGACUGAGACACGGCCCAGACUCCUACGGGAGGCAGCAGUGGGGAAUAUUGGACAAUGGGCGCAAGCCUGAUCCAGCAAUGCCGCGUGUGUGAAGAAGGCCUUCGGGUUGUAAAGCACUUUCAGUGGGGAAGAAAAAAUUAAGGUUAAUACCCUUAAUCUUGACGUUACCCACAGAAGAAGCACCGGCUAACUCCGUG
rnacentral:rRNA from 1 species